rnacentral:rRNA from 1 species
CUUGAAAUACCACCCUUUAAUGUUUGAUGUUCUAACGUUGACCCGUAAUCCGGGUUGCGGACAGUGUCUGGUGGGUAGUUUGACUGGGGCGGUCUCCUCCUAAAGAGUAACGGAGGAGCACGAAGGUUGGCUAAUCCUGGUCGGACAUCAGGAGGUUAGUGCAAUGGCAUAAGCCAGCUUGACUGCGAGCGUGACGGCGCGAGCAGGUGCGAAAGCAGGUCAUAGUGAUCCGGUGGUUCUGAAUGGAAGGGCCAUCGCUCAACGGAUAAAAGGUACUCCGGGGAUAACAGGCUGAUACCGCCCAAGAGUUCAUAUCGACGGCGGUGUUUGGCACCUCGAUGUCGGCUCAUCACAUCCUGGGGCUGAAGUAGGUCCCAAGGGUAUGGCUGUUCGCCAUUUAAAGUGGUACGCGAGCUGGGUUUAGAACGUCGUGAGACAGUUCGGUCCCUAUCUGCCGUGGGCGCUGGAGAACUGAGGGGGGCUGCUCCUAGUACGAGAGGACCGGAGUGGACGCAUCACUGGUGUUCGGGUUGUCAUGCCAAUGGCACUGCCCGGUAGCUAAAUGCGGAAGAGAUAAGUGCUGAAAGCAUCUAAGCACGAAACUUGCCCCGAGAUGAGUUCUCCCUGACUCCUUGAGAGUCCUGAAGGAACGUUGAAGACGACGACGUUGAUAGGCCGGGUGUGUAAGCGCAGCGAUGCGUUGAGCUAACCGGUACUAAUGAACCGUGAGGCUUAACCUUACAACGCCGAAG